AGCGAACGCUGGCGGCAGGCCUAACACAUGCAAGUCGAACGAACCUUUCGGGGUUAGUGGCGGACGGGUGAGUAACACGUGGGAACGUGCCUUUAGGUUCGGAAUAACUCAGGGAAACUUGUGCUAAUACCGAAUGUGCCCUUCGGGGGAAAGAUUUAUCGCCUUUAGAGCGGCCCGCGUCUGAUUAGCUAGUUGGUUGAGGUAAUGGCUCACCAAGGCGACGAUCAGUAGCUGGUCUGAGAGGAUGAUCAGCCACAUUGGGACUGAGACACGGCAAAAACUCCUACGGGAGGCAGCAGUGGGGAAUCUUGCGCAAUGGGCGAAAGCCUGACGCAGCCAUGCCGCGUGAAUGAUGAAGGUCUUAGGAUUGUAAAAUUCUUUCACCGGGGACGAUAAUGACGGUACCCGGAGAAGAAGCCCCGGCUAACUUCGUG
rnacentral:rRNA from 1 species